ensembl:lncRNA
UUAAUACAGAUGUCUUUCAAGAUAUAAUAUUUUCUAUUGUCCCGUAAAAUCAAAUUCCUUGCUCACGUAAGAACCUGAAGUCAUCAGGAACCUCUUUGUCUUGGUAUUAAUGGACAUUUUUCAUGUCUAGAGGCUGAUCCAUACCUCUGGGCAGUGUAUAUUAGAGGCUGAUCCAUCCCCCUGGGCAGUGUAUAUUAGAGGCUGAUCCAUCCCUCUGGGCAGUGUAUAUUAGAGGCUGAUCCAUCCGUCUGGGAAGUGUAUAUUAGAGGCUGGUCCAUCCCUCUGGGCAGUGUAUAUUAGAGGCUGAUCCAUCCCUCUGGGCAGUGUAUAUUAGAGGAUGAUCCAUCCCUCUGGGUAGUGUAUAUUAGAGGCUGAUCCAUCCCUCUGGGUAGUGGAUAUUAGAGGCUGAUCCAUCCCUCUGGGUAGUGGAUAUUAGAGGCUGAUCCAUACCUCUGGGUAGUGGAUAUUAGAGGAAGAUUAUGUUAAUUCCCUUUUAAUGUAGGAGCUGCUUGAAAGAAACCGCCUGACAUUUCAAUCUGUUUUGGUGGGAGGAGUUUUGGCCUGCCCUGUGACAUCACCCGGUGAUACAUUUCAAAUAGAAACAGUUUCAAACCUCUCUGCCAAUAACAGCUAGUUUAAAGUUUUCCCCAACUCCACUCAGACCUCUACUAGACAGUCCCAGCUAAUUUCCUGCUUGACAAGUUGCUCUAUUUGUGAAGAAGCUAUAUUUGUAAAAAAAAAAAAAAAAAAAAAAAAAAAAGAUGUUUUUAUUGAAAACAUUCACAGUAAGUUACUUAAUUGUUCCCCAG